UACGUAGGGGGCAAGCGUUGUCCGGAAUCAUUGGGCGUAAAGAGCGUGUAGGCGGCCCGGUAAGUCCGUUGUGAAAGUCGAGGGCUCAACCCUCGAAUGCCGGCGGAUACUGUCGGGCUCGAGUCCGGAAGAGGCGAGUGGAAUUCCUGGUGUAGCGGUGAAAUGCGCAGAUAUCAGGAGGAACACCAAUGGCGAAGGCAGCUCGCUGGGACGGUACUGACGCUAAGGCGCGAAAGCGUGGGGAGCGAACAGG
rnacentral:rRNA from 1 species